rnacentral:rRNA from 1 species
UACGGGGGGGGGCGAGCGUUGUUCGGAAUUACUGGGCGUAAAGGGUGCGUAGGCGGCUUUCUAAGUCGGAUGUGAAAACUCUGGGCUCAACCCAGAGCCUGCAUCUGAAACUGGAGAGCUAGGGUUCUGGAGGGGAAAGCGGAAUUCCUGGUGUAGCGGUGAAAUGCGUAGAUAUCAGGAGGAACACUGGUGGCGAAGGCGGCUUUCUGGACAGAUACCGACGCUGAGGCACGAAAGCUAGGGGAGCAAACAGG